rnacentral:rRNA from 1 species
GUUGAACGCUGGCGGCGUGCCUAAUACAUGCAAGUCGAGCGAAAACACGAGGAGCUUGCUCCUCUGACGUUAGCGGCGGACGGGUGAGUAACAUGUGGAUAACCUACCUAUAAGGCUGGGAUAACUUCGGGAAACCGGUGCUAAUACCGGAUAAUAUAUUGAACCGCAUGGUGCAAUAGUGAAAGACGGUUUUGCUGUCACUUAUAGAUGGAUCCGCGCCGCAUUAGCUAGUUGGUAAGGUAACGGCUUACCAAGGCAACGAUGCGUAGCCGGUCUGAGAGGAUGAUCAGCCACACUGGAACUGAGACACGGUCCAGACUCCUACGGGAGGCAGCAGUGGGGAAUCUUGCGCAAUGGGCGAAAGCCUGACGCAGCAAUGCCGCGUGAGUGAUGAAGGUCUUCGGGUUGUAAAGCUCUUUUAUCAGGGAAGAACAAAUGUGUAAGUAUCCAUGCGCGUCUUGACGGUACCGGAUGAAAAAGCCACGGCUAACUACGUG